UGGCAGUCGCGAAUUUCACGCGAUUUGCAAUCUUCCAACUCUUCAGUUUUCUCCUUCUUUACUCCAGGAGACGCCUCGACUCCCCCAACUCCUUCCACUCUCUAAAACCCUAAUUACAUCCGCCACAAUUCGAUUUCCACAGCCUCCGCCACAAAUUUCGUCGAUUACACUCCACCGUGGUUACAUCUGCCACAAAAUCGACCGGCGUUGACGUGUUUCGACUAUUAUUCAACAAAUCUCGCAGAUCAAAUAUGCCAAAAAGAGGUCGUCCGCGCUCGCAAGCAUCACAGAUGCAGAGAAGCAGCUUAGAGUCGACAUAGACGAUGCCCUCUACGUCGUUAUUCCCGUUGCUCUGGUAAAAAAUUCAGCGAUAGGUUGGCCAAGAUAGGCCCUAGUACGUCUGGAAAUAAAGGGGGAACCGAAACACCAAC